rnacentral:tRNA from 1 species
GGGCGAUUAGCUCAGCUGGUUAGAGCGCAGCGUUGACAUCGCUGAGGUCACUGGUUCGAGCCCAGUAUCGCCCA